AAAGAGAACAAGGUUGGCGCGAGCCUGAGGCAGGAGCAGAGGCGCGGUGCCCGCCUCCGGUGGUCGCCUGGGCUCGGGGGUCAGGAAGCCACCUCUCCAGGGCGCAGGCUCCUCUAGGAUGGUGCCAGGAGUGCCCGCAGCCCCAGGUCACCAGGCGGCAGGCCGCGACCCGGAAGUGGAGCAGCCGCCGGAAGUGCCGCCGCCUUCUUCCACACGCCCCACCGCCCGUCGGACCCGGGCUGCCGAGCCCAGCCCGCCCAGAGAUGUGAAUCUAGAAAAAGAUGAAAACUGAAGCCUAC
rnacentral:lncRNA from 1 species